UACGUAGGUCCCGAGCGUUGUCCGGAUUUAUUGGGCGUAAAGCGAGUGCAGGUGGCUUAUUAAGUCUGGUGUAAAAGGCAGUGGCUCAACCAUUGUAUGCAUUGGAAACUGGUAGACUUGAGUGCAGAAGAGGAGAGUGGAACUCCAUGUGUAGCGGUGAAAUGCGUAGAUAUAUGGAAGAACACCAGUGGCGAAAGCGGCUCUCUGGUCUGUAACUGACGCUGAGGUUCGAAAGCGUGGGUAGCAAACAGG
rnacentral:rRNA from 1 species